GGACAGCACCUAGCGGAGAUAUCUGGUGAACUGCCCUUGGACUCUAUGCCCAGCACCGCUCAGAAAUUAUUCGCUACCUUCAGAGAGACAGGGCACAGCUCAGCCUGUUAGGUAGGCUGGAGACUCACACUUCACUCGAACGCACAACACUGAGGUGGUUUGGGAAGCACAGUAACAAAGAAGAGAUUUAAGUGAUACUGAGCAAGAGAAAGACAAAUUUCAAACAGACAAACAAAACACAACACACUUUGCAGUGACUAAAACUGAAUCUUAACAAAUCAAUAUCUUUGCCUUAGCAGUUUCCAGACUAACAUCUCAGCUUUCCUAACAGACCUUAUUUGAUGUCCCUGUAUGGUACAAAACUUCUCUGUCGAAUCCGCUGAUUUGAUUGCUUAAGUCUUCUGGUUUCGGACCCUCUGUUCUCCUUCUGGGGUGCCUGGACCCUGAUUGUAACAUCUCUCUUCCAGUACGUGGCCCAGCCUCUUAAACAGAUGUGUGCUGCAGUCAGCCCAGCGCAGGGAGCAGUGGGGACAGAUGAUCUCAUCCUGUCAAACCAAGCAACAGGGGUCCCAUUGAGGCUUAGAUGGAAGAUCCCAGGCAUCUCCUGGAGAGGAUGCGUCCGGGACCCUGGAGACUGUUUCGUACAAGAGGUUUGAGCGGGGAAAGAUCAGUCACUGUCAUGACCAGGUCAUUAACCUGGGUCUGCAGGGUUCCUGGGAGCAGCCACACUCCAGCACCCCACCUGGAAGCCUACGAAAAACUGCUUACCUAGGACUGACUAAGUGCAGACCCAGUUUGAGGCUCCAUCCCUGAGGCCCAUUGGCAGAGUCUCAGAGCAGCUAAUUGGCCCCCGGGAACUCCUUAAACCAGCAGCGGGAACAAGAAGCUGUCUGAACACCCGAGCU